rnacentral:snoRNA from 1 species
AUAGGCGGGAGGGAAAGGGAGAGUUAAGGGAAAUUGCAUGAAAUUGGAAGGUGAGCCUAAGGGAUAUACACAAUUACAUAUAAGAGGAAAGGAGGAGUAGGAGAAAAAUUCGCCCCCCCCCCCGCCUACACCUUGAUCUUAUUUGAUCGGGUCGUGACCCCAGCCCCGCCGGGCCGCCCCGAAAUGAAAAGCUCUCCUCCUGCGAAGCCCCUUCCUCUGGGCGCUGUGCAGUGAGGCCCUUUGGGCGGCGGCAGCGCCGCGGUCCCUGAGGUCCCGGAGCUGGUCCUAUGGGCCCGGUGCUCAGAAGUGAUGAAUUGAUCAGAUAGACGAGGCCGGGCCUGUCCCGGGCCAGUGAUUAUCGAGGCGAUUCUGAUCUGA